rfam:Lupinus angustifolius cultivar Tanjil chromosome LG10, whole genome shotgun sequence.
UGGGUUUAGUUCUGGUGGAGCGGUGAAAUGUUAGAGAUUACAAGGAACACCAACAAUGAAAAUACUCUAGGGGUGCGAAUGAGAUUAGAUACCUCAUUAGUCCUAUAUGUAAAUGAUGGAAACUAAGCAUUAUGUAUAUCUACCAAUGCAAUUUUAUAGUUAACGCAUUAAAUAUCCUGCUUGGAGAGUACAUUCGCAAGAAUGAAACUCAAAGGAAUUGAACAAAUUUUCAAUGAUUUUCAUA